CCUACGGGUGGCUGCAGUGGGGAAUAUUGGACAAUGGGGGCAACCCUGAUCCAGCCAUGCCGCGUGUGUGAAGAAGGCCCUCGGGUUGUAAAGCACUUUCAGUGAGGAAGAACGCCUGGUGGUUAAUACCCAUCAGGAAAGACAUCACUCACAGAAGAAGCACCGGCUAACUCCGUGCCAGCAGCCGCGGUAAUACGGAGGGUGCGAGUGUUAAUCGGAAUUACUGGGCGUAAAGCGCGCGUAGGUGGCUUGAUAAGCCGGUUGUGAAAGCCCCGGGCUCAACCUGGGAACGGCAUCCGGAACUGUCAAGCUAGAGUGCAGGAGAGGAAGGUAGAAUUCCCGGUGUAGCGGUGAAAUGCGUAGAGAUCGGGAGGAAUACCAGUGGCGAAGGCGGCCUUCUGGACUGACACUGACACUGAGGUGCGAAAGCGUGGGUAGCAAACAGGAUUAGAUACCCCGGGUAGUC
rnacentral:rRNA from 1 species